rnacentral:rRNA from 1 species
UCCCCCUGGACGAAACUGACGCUCAGGUGCGAAAGCGUGGGGAGCAAACAGGAUUAGAUACCCUGGUAGUCACGCCGUAAACGAUGUCGACUUGGAGGUUGUGCCCUUGAGGCGUGGCUUCCGGAGCUAACGCGUUAAGUCGACCGCCUGGGGAGUACGGCCGCAAGGUUAAAACUCAAAUGAAUUGACGGGGGCCCGCACAAGCGGUGGAGCAUGUGGUUUAAUUCGAUGCAACGCGAAGAACCUUACCUGGUCUUGACAUCCACGGAAGUUUCAGAGAUGAGAAUGUGCCUUCGGGAACCGUGAGACAGGUGCUGCAUGGCUGUCGUCAGCUCGUGUGUGAAAUGUGUAGCCCGCACGC